AGCAGCCGCGGUAAUUCCAGCUCCAAUAGCGUAUAUUAAAGUUGUUGCAGUUAAAAAGCUCGUAGUUGAAUUUCGAGAUCAGUACGCUGGUCGUGCCUUUGGUAUGCACUGGUGUCACUGGUUUCUCCCUUCUGAAGAACUGCCAUGCCAUUCAGUUGGUGUGGCGGGGAAUCAGGACUGUUACUUUGAAAAAAUUAGAGUGUUUAGAGCAGGCUUGCGCUUGAAUACAUUAGCAUGGAAUAAUGAAAUAGGACGUUUGACCCUAUUUUGUUGGUUUCUAGGAUCGACGUAAUGAUUAAUAGGGAUAGUUGGGGGCAUUAGUAUUCAAUUGUCAGAGGUGAAAUUCUUGGAUUUAUUGAAGACUAACUACUGCGAAAGCAUUUGCCAAGGAUGUUUUCAUUAAUCAAGAACGAAAGUUAGGGGAUCGAAGACGAUCAGAUACCGUCGUAGUCUUAACCAUAAACUAUGCCGACUAGGGAUCGGAUGAUGU
rnacentral:rRNA from 1 species